UCUCCGUAGGUGAACCUGCGGAGGGAUCAUUACAGAGUUCAUGCCCUACCGGGUAGAUCUCCCACCCUAUGUUAUUAUUACUUUGUUGCUUUGGCGGGCCGUUAGGCUCCGGCCCGACUACCGGCCCCGGCUGGUAAGCGCCCACCAGAGGACCCAAAACCCUGAAUAUUAGUGUCGUCUGAGUACUAUAUAAUAGUUAAAACUUUCGACAACGGAUCUCUUGGUUCUG
rnacentral:misc_RNA from 1 species